rnacentral:rRNA from 1 species
UACAGGGGGGGCAAGCGUUGUUCGGAAUUACUGGGCGUAAAGGGCUCGUAGGCGGCCAACUAAGUCACACGUGAAAUCCCCAGGCUUAACCUGGGAACUGCGUGUGAUACUGGAUGGCUUGAAUUCGGGAGAGGGAUGCAGAAUUCCAGGUGUAGCGGUGAAAUGCGUAGAGAUUAGGAAGAACACCAGUGGCGAAGGCGACUUACUGGACUGUAACUGACGCUGAGGCAUGAAAGCGUGGGGAGCAAACAGG